UACGUAGGGGGCAAGCGUUGUCCGGAAUCAUUGGGCGUAAAGCGCGUGUAGGCGGCUCGGUAAGUCCGCUCUGAAAGUCCGGGGCUCAACCCCGGGAGGCGGGUGGAUACUGUCGAGCUCGAGUCCGGAAGAGGCGAGUGGAAUUCCUGGUGUAGCGGUGAAAUGCGCAGAUAUCAGGAGGAACACCGAUGGCGAAGGCAGCUCGCUGGGACGGUACUGACGCUGAGACGCGAAAGCGUGGGGAGCGAACAGG
rnacentral:rRNA from 1 species